rnacentral:rRNA from 1 species
UACGGAAGGGGCAAGCGUUGUUCGGAAUCAUUGGGCGUAAAGAGCGCGCAGGCGGUCGUUCAAGUCGCGUGUGAAAGCAUGCGGCUCAACCGCAUAGGGUCGGUAGAAACUGCAAGACUCGAGGCUGGGAGGGGCUGGUGGAAUUCCCUGUGUAGCGGUGAAAUGCGUAGAUAUAGGGGAGAACACUCGUGGCGAAGGCGGCCAGCUAGACCAGUCCUGACGCUGAGGCGCGAAAGCGUGGGGAGCAAACAGG